rnacentral:tRNA from 1 species
GCAGUGGUGGUUCAGUGGUAGAAUUCUCACUUCCCAUGCGUGAGACUCAGGUUCUAUUCCUGGCCAGUGUA